AGACAGCUGAGAUCAAGGACGCCAGACUCAUUCUGACUUAGCUCAUCUUCUGUUCCUAAUUAAUAUUGGCUGUUUCUGUCUCCAGUUUGAUUGAAGGCCCUAGACAUCAGCCUUCACUCAGUUUAGAGACGAGAACCACUUAGGGUCAACCAAGCAUUCAUGUGGGUUGAAGUCAGUGGACUGCACCAGGCACGGGCAGCGGAAGCGGAUCCGACUAGGAACCAUAAGGUUGUGGGUUCGAUCCCUGGCCUCACUCAGUGGGUUAAGGAUCCAGCGUUGCCAUGAGCUGUGGUGUAGGUCGCAGACACGGCUCGGAUCCUGUGUUGCUGUGGCUGUGGUGUAGGCUGGCAGCUACAGCUCCGAUUAGACCCCUAGCCUGGGAACCUCCGUAUGCCGAGAUUGUGGCCCUCAAAAGACCAAAGGGAAAAAAAAAAAAAAAGAAAUGUGAUAAACAGAACUCGCACUAGGUGGGUGGGUGACUUACAAAGUGAACUCUCACAAAAGACUUCUUGUCGUUUCACUUGCCAAACACCAGCCAGAGACUAAGAAUAUUCCUCUGACCUGAAAGUCAGGUAGCACAUCAUGUUCCCUAGGACCCCCUGAGGGCUGGCAUCCACCUGGGGACUCCCUGAAGGGUGGGGAGCAGCUGGUGGCCACCAAGGGGUGGCCUGAUGGGAAGGGACUGGACCUCACUGGUGUUCAUGUUCCUGGGAGGCUCCCAGCCCUUGGUGAGGACCUCCCCAGGAGAGGCCAGGCGCUGAGGGUCCCAAAAAGACCACUAGAUACUGAAUUGCUCCCGUUGAUUCCAGGCAGAUGGCCCAGGGAUCAGGGUUGCCUCAUGAUGAACUUGGAAGUUCUUCUGUUUCUUUUGUCUGUCUUUAAUGGAAAUAAAGAUCAAGUGAUGAGAAGCAAAGCCAACUUAUCAGAGCUUGCUGUAACAAAGGACAGCCAUCAUCACUGCCAUUGGCAGAGACACAAAGGCAGACGGAGGAGCAGAAAGGCUUCUGAGUGAGGAAAGGGGUGGCUCAGGGGCACCCUGCUCAGGCUUCGGGGCAGGGAAGCUGGGCGCCCAGCCAGAUGCCCGGGACCCAUGUGACUGUCUGGGGCUGCCUCGUUGGCUUUCUCUUGGGAGAACCAUCAGUUAUUAGUCAAGUUCUGACUAACUGGAAACAACUGGAAGCCCAUGGGCUCCCAGGACAGCUUCUGGAGAUGGCAGUGGGACGACCUGUAAGUGUGAGAACAGAAGGGCUUCCCGGGAUGGUUACUGCAGAUGCAGGUCAGAGGUGGUUUUAUAUACGGUCCUGUCACUAUUCAUGUGUGUAUUCAGUCUCAAGUUUAAAUAAGCAAAUUUCCAGUUUUCCUGAAUUUUUUUGGCCACACCCUUGGCAUGUGGAAGUUCCCAGAUGAAUCUGCGACCUGUGCCUCAGCUAUGGCAACACUGGGUCCUUAACCCACGGCAAGACAGCAGGAGCUCCUGGUUUUCCUGAAUUUUAUCCUAAGAAUGAAAUCAACCUACACCCCUAAGAAAUCGUAAAUGAACUGACAUUAGUAAAAAACAGCUUGCAGUUGUGCAGUUACAUUUUUAAAUACAUAAGAAGUGCUGUCCAGAGAACACACGUCCUGCGCAAUCUCUAAUCGGCUCGUACAGCCGUGGGAAGGGCCUGCUGAGCCCCAGGCACGUUCAGAAUCCACCCAUGGUCAAGGGAGAGCCAUCCUGGGAGCCGCGGGGAGUUAUGUGAGAAAGAUAAUUAGAGAAGACUCUGGGGGAUCCAGUGGCAGUAACGCUGUAUCACAGCCUCGUUUUUGUUUUAUUGCCUUAGUUUGCCCUCAAGAAACACGGAAACAGUCCCUGCGGUGCUCCUGUGAGAUCCUGAAAGCUUUGCGAUGUCUGUGGCCGAGUUGAAACAAUGAGUCUCGUCCCUGAUGGAGAUGAGUGCAUGGACACCCAGCUCAGCCGAAGCAGGCCACCUGCCUCUGAAAUGUCUGAACAGGAUUCUCCCAUCUCGCAGCAGCCCGUACCAUCCCAAGGAGGAAGGUGGGUUCUGAAUCCCACUCGAGCGGGGGUCGGGGGUCAGCAACUUUGAGAGAGCUGAGCAGCACUUGGGUAUUAAAGCCAGUGCGUUCUCAGAAAUCCUCGGAGCGUCUACGGAUGGGUUCCCUGGCCACCCCUGCAGGCCUCUCAGAAGGGGUGGUGCGUGCAAAUGCCAGCGACAACUUCAUCGCAGGUCUGCCUUCUCGUCUCCCUUUGGAGUCACCCAGCCUGCUGGGGGCGCUCGCUCUCCACCCCGCAGGUCCUGUGCUGCCUGGCCCUGUCUCCCUCCCGAUCCCCUCUCAGGACAACACUUGCAGCUCCAGGCUGGCUGCCGUGACCUGCUGGUAAACGUUUAACAACCAGCUCUCCAGAAAGCAAACCUGAAUGCAUAAGUAUACGCGCAUAGUCAGUGUACACGGCAACGGUAGAGAGAACGAACGCACAGUGCACAAUUGCAAAUGAUACAACACACAGCACCCCAUUUCAACCCACAUGGCCAGCCGAGUCUCACAGGUGCUUGUGUGGAGUUUUGCCAAACGCUUGCAUCUGUGACCAACCUGUGACUGCAGCCGACAAACGAGUGUGGUUCUGGCAUGAACACUGGCCGAGUCCUCGUUUACGUUUGUGAGCAAGACAGAUGUGAGACAACGCAAGCGUCAGGACAAUGUCCAAACCGGACCCGAACGUUAAUGACAUGCGCAAUUGCUGUGCUAAAUUGGAAAAUAAUUUCCGAAUGCUGGAGGAAAUUUUCCACAAGCUUUCACACUGUUUACAGUAUAAGGGCCGCUGGCCUGAGACACGCCCAAGGCAAACCGCGUUUCUACGUUGUCUCCAUGGCUCUCUCAGGUCAAAACCAGAAUAACUCCCGAUGUAGGCUUUUUGCUUGUGUUCCUGGUGUAAUUAUUUCGAGCAACCAUCACGUCACUGACCGUGGACUUUGAGAUGCACAGUAAGUAGCAGCCUGAUGCCGCAUAAUGACUGUGUUUAACAGUCAGCUCCCAAGAUUCCUGAAAAUCUCCCCAGCGGCUGUCAGGAGCUGUGCAAACCCCCUCCAGCAUGUCGCCGGUCGCCUGCGUAGCUUUUCAGGAUGCAGAACAAGCCCAGCCUCGAAUCCGAUGGCAGUGCAGGGGCUCUUGAAUCUUGGGAUGAUAAGUGCUUCACCCAAAGUUACUCAGCUGGUAGGUUCAAGUAAAGUUUUUUUAUUCUUUCAUAAAUUCAGCAAAUGUUAAUGAAGCGCCUACUACGUGCUGUAAUCACUGUGAUUCCUGUUGAGACCGGUCGUCCCAGCCCGCCUCCCAGCGUGGAUGCCCAGCUAGUUCUUUCUCCUAGACUCUGCUCCCCCUUCCCUCCUGGGUCCGCUCAUCCUCCGCUCAAGGCCUGAGCGUUCCGGAGACCAGUGGAGGGUGCCAGUGACCAAGCAGCCUUGCCCACUCCUCCUCCUCCCACAAGAACACACUGCCAGGUCCCAUCCAUUCCUCCUCCCAGAGCCCUCAAGUGCCCCCACGGCUCACCUCUGCAGCCUUGACGCUGCUACGAGCCCCCAUGACCGCCCGCCUCGGCUGCUUCAGGAGCCUCCGAGCUGGUCUCCGGCUCCCUCUGCCCAGCCCACUCUCCACUCUGCAACCAAGGUGAUUCUUUAAAAUAAGAAUCCCUGUUUCAGUACCAUUUCUCAGCUUAAUAACCGUCCAAUGGUGGAGGGGGCAUCGCCUCCAGAUGCAGCCUGCUCGGGUGCAUUGCUCGCCAGCUGGGUAACUUGGGGCAAGACGAAGCAGCAGCUCUGCGUUUGGUCCCCCACCUGCAGGAAGAGGAAAAUCUAGCGCCCGUCGGAUAGAGGGCUUGGAGGGUUAAACCCAUUAGCAACGUGAAGGGCUCCAAACGCGGCAUCCUCGCCCCCAUCUCUAGGAUGAACACAAGACCCCUGACCUGCGCCUGACUCUCGUCCAGCCGCUGCUGCCAGCACCCUCUGCACUGCUCUGUGUCCCAGAGCCCAGGCCUCUCCAAGGCCUCUCACCACACCGGCCUCGCCCAAGCCCAUCUCACCACCCGCCACCCCUCCCUCCCCCACCUGGCUGCACCUCUGCCUCAGUGGAUCCUCAGCACUCUUUCAAGACCUUGUCUGCAGCAAAGCCUUCCCUCGGCCCUAGUCGAGUUCAAGUCUCAUCCUGGGCCUGCAGAUCCCAUGUCCCAUUGUACUCACACACUGAUAAGGACAAGGACAUAACAGGUCAUGUCCUGUCUACACUGUGGACUGCGUGAGAGUGCCCAGUGCCUUGUAAGCUACCUGGAACGGGGUGGAUGCUAGUAUAUAGGGAAUCUGCAUGGUAAACAGGACUUUUCCAACUCUAUCCAAUCGCUUGUGAUAAAACAUGAUAGAAGAAAUGAGAAAAAGAAUGUGUAUUUGUGUAUAUAUAACGGGGGCACUUUGCAGUACAGCAGAAUUUGACAGAACAUUGUAAGUCAACUGUAAUACAACAUUUUUUUAAAAAAAUAAAUGAAGUGGACUUUUCCAAGAUCCAUCUGGAUCUUGAGACCAUCGUAAGCAAUGCUUCAUUCAGCAAAAUGCCAGUGUGAGUUAGAAAGUUUGGCUGCACACCUAGAUUUGCCUAAAGAAGCGUUUGGUGUCAGCUCUUUCCCCCAACACUCAAUUUCCCCAAACUGCCAAGAGCCCUGCUUAGCCUCUGCCAAGGGCUGAACAGGACAGGAAAAGAACAAGUAACAUUCUGGGGGUCUUCUCAGAGUGCUUUACCCCGUAGGAUUACUAGCCGUUGCGCAUCCUUGGCUCCCCAAGACCAUUCCUCGGGAUUCCAGAGGGUGAGCAGCUCUCACACUUACUGAGCAUCUGCGGGGCCAGGACGUCUUUGCAGCCUCUUCACGUGCUUUAACUCUGUCCUGCCAGGAGAGACUUGUCCAGAGAGGAGUUCAGCUUCCCAAAGGGAAACCUGAAAACCGGGGCGGUCAGGCUCGCUGAGACGCAGCAGUUCUUCCCUUGUGGGGGCCUCCCGCGGAGGCCUCAAUAUGUUUUGUUUGUUUUAAGUCUUUACCAGAGAAAAAUACUAAGUAAAUUGUUACAUAUGGAUGGGGAAUUCAUUGUACUAGACUCUCAGUUCCUGAACGUAAGUAAAACUUGGCACCCAACACCCAGAGCAGACAACGUCUUUUGAAACAAAAGUUGAACAUUUAUAAAAAUUGAUCAUCUAGGAAACUGUAAAGCAAGUAUCAACAAGUCUCAGAGGACCUGUACCAUAUAGGCCAUUUCUGGAACACAAAGAACUUGAGGUAUGAAUCAAUAAUGAAAGAACAGAUAAAACUGUCCAAAUAUUUGAAAUUUUGAAAUGCGUUAUAAGUAACCCAGAGGUCUAAGAAGAACUGUAUGAUAAUAAAUAAAAACUGUGUGAUAAUGAAAGGCCAUGAAAACAGUACUUGGAGAUAGACUUACACCCUUAAGUGCUUAUUUUUACAUCAGAACAAAACCUGAAAAUUAGCAAAAUACACAUCUUCAAACAUUGGAGCAAAUAAGAACGGAAAAUUUUUUUUUUCAAGAAAAAAGCAAUGAACAUAAGAACAGGUGUUAAGUAACACAAAAACCAAAAAUACAUUUAAGAAGUGAAGCAGUGGCUCUCCCUGUGACCUCUCCGUGCCCCCCUGGCUCAGCUGACACCCUUCCUCUGAGCCAAAGCCGCUCCUGGGCUCAAUUCCAUUCCCUUAAGUUAUACUGACCAUCUUCCAUCAAGGAUUCACUGACCCCAGAGGAAAAGUCUACGAGCAGCAUUGACUUUGCCCUCCUCCCAGGUCCCUGUUCCCUCUCUGUCUAGCUCUGCAUCCCAGGAGACCGACACCUACAGACUGCAGCACGCAGCAGCCUUGAUCCCUGGCAUCCUGCCAGGUUGGUUUGGUCAACGGGCGGCACAGGCAUGGGAUUGGAGGCCAGAGGAAUAUACAUGCGUGAGGAUGACUGCCUGUCACAGCCCUAACAGCACACUUGUCCUUACAGGGUGUCAUCGUCAGUGGGCUGCGUGAUGAUGCUAAUGGCACUGGGGGAAAGAGCUGUGUCGUAAUGGAACUGCGGUAGCUCAGUCUCCAAAUACAACCAGCUCUCAGUGGGUACCUCCAUGCAGACUGUACCAUGUAUAGAGUAAAAGUGAAAUCUCUGAAAUCAGGCAUACCUGGGCUCAAAUCCUGUUCCUUGCUGUGGAAUUACGAGCAGAUACUCAACCUCUCUAAACCUUGAUAACUUCAAAUUGACUGUAAUAGUAGUAGCCACCUAUGAUGGUUAGUUUUAUGUGUCAGCUUGGCAGGGGUGCUUGGAUUAAUCAUUAUCCCUGAGAGAGGAUUUCUGGAUGAGUUAGUAUUGAAUUGGUGGACUCAGUAAAUUGCCCCCUUUCCGGGGCUGGGUAUCAUCCAACCCACUGGGGCCUGAAUGGGACAAAAGUCAGAGGAAGGAGGAAUUGGCCCCUUUGUGUCUGUGUCUGUCUGAGCUGGGACACCUCAACAUCUCUAGGCCUCAGACGGGGACUUAACCAUAGGUUUCCUGGUUCUUGGGCCUUUGGACUUGGAUGCGAAUUACACCACCAGCUUUCCUGGGUCUCCAGCUUGCAGAUUGUGGACUUUUCAACCUCCAUAGUCACAUGAGCCAAUCCCUCAUAAUAAAAAAAUAUAUAAUUGG
rnacentral:lncRNA from 1 species